UAUCAAUAAGCGGAGGAAAAGAAACUAACAAGGAUUCCCCUAGUAACUGCGAGUGAAGCGGGAAAAGCUCAAAUUUAAAAUCUGGUGGUCUUUGGCCAUCCGAGUUGUAAUUUAGAGAAGCGUCUUCCGCGCUGGGCCGUGCACAAGUCUCCUGGAAUGGAGCGUCAUAGAGGGUGAGAAUCCCGUCUUUGGCACGGACCCCCAGGGCUUCUGUGAUGCGCUCUCGACGAGUCGAGUUGUUUGGGAAUGCAGCUCAAAAUGGGUGGUGAACUCCAUCUAAAGCUAAAUAUUGGCGAGAGACCGAUAGCGAACAAGUACCGUGAGGGAAAGAUGAAAAGCACUUUGGAAAGAGAGUGAAACAGUACGUGAAAUUGUUGAAAGGGAAACGCUUGAAGUCAGUCGCGUCGACCGAGACUCAGCCUUGCCUCGGCUUGGUGUACUUCUCGGCUUGACGGGUCAGCAUCAAUUUUGAUCCUCGGAUAAUGGCAAGGGAAAGGUAGCACCUUUUUAGGUGUGUUAUAGUCCUCUGUCGCAUGCGAGGGUCAGGAUUGAGGAACUCAGCAUGCACCUUCGGGUGUCGGGGCCUUGGCCCACGUUACGUGCUUAGGAUGCUGGCAUAAUGGCUUUAAACGACC
rnacentral:rRNA from 1 species